rnacentral:rRNA from 1 species
UACAGAGGGUGCAAGCGUUGUUCGGAAUUACUGGGCGUAAAGGGCUCGUAGGUGGCCAACUAAGUCAGCCGUGAAAUCCCUCGGCUUAACCGGGGAACUGCGUCUGAUACUGGAUGGCUUGAGUUCGGGAGAGGGAUGCGGAAUUCCAGGUGUAGCGGUGAAAUGCGUAGAUAUCUGGAGGAACACCGGUGGCGAAGGCGGCAUCCUGGACCGACACUGACACUGAGGAGCGAAAGCCAGGGGAGCAAACGGG